UACGGAGGGUCCAAGCGUUGUCCGGAAUCACUGGGUGUAAAGGGUGCGCAGGCGGGCUUGUAAGUCAGGGGUGAAAGCCACCGGCUCAACCGGUGAAUUGCCCUUGAUACUGCAAGUCUUGAGUCCUGGAGAGGCUGCCGGAAUUCGUGGUGUAGCGGUGAAAUGCGUAGAUAUCACGAGGAACACCGGAUGCGUAAGCGGGCAGCUGGACAGGUACUGACGCUCAGGCACGAAAGCGUGGGGAGCGAACAGGAUUAGAAACCCCCGUAGUCC
rnacentral:rRNA from 1 species